AAGAUCAACAGUGGUCACAGGGCCUGGUUGAACCAACUAUAUAAGUAGACUAAACAGUUGGAUUUAAGAAUGUGGUUAGGAAUUGAAAUCCCAUCAAAACAUCUACGAGUCCUUUCAUUCCAGAUGCACCAAAAGAAUGCCGCAGGCACCAUACGCCAGGUUUUUUUAAUGGGUUUCCCAACUCUCCACGAACACCAGCUCUCAUAGGCUUCUUUAAUACUAUUUGGCAUGACCCAGGUAAUUCCAAAAACUGAUAAGAACAUACUCCAUAUGCCUGCUGCUACUUUACAGUGCAAAAAUAGGUUCCUUACAAAAACUGAUAAGAACGUAUUUUCAAGUCAAAGAUUCUAAAUCUGCAUAACUGUAAGUACUUCCUUUCCUCCAACCUCACUGCAUUGUCUGUAUCUUCAUCUGAAGCAGUUCUGGAGGACUUCUUCUAUUGAUAUUACCAAGUGGCUAAACUAUAUCUUUUCUCAGAUUUGGCACCCAGAGCUUUGUAUGUGAGAGGCACUGUUAUAGAUAUGAUGUUCAACACUUUUUUUUCUUUAAAUUUGUUGAUCACUUCUGUAUGUAGGCAUGUUUUGAUGAUUUAUUCUAGCUGAAGUUGAGCUGGAACAUACGUAUUCGUGCUUAGCGACAUCAAAAUACUGCCAUUCCGAUGUUAUGCAUGCUUUCCCAGCAAGCUUUGGCUUGAAAGGAGAGGCUCUGAGCUGUAUUUCUUACCUUUCUUUGUUGGAAAUUGUUACUAAAACUCAUGGGAUGCCAAAUGGAUAUCGAAAGGUUUGAAGGGUGGAUGGGGACUUGCAUAAAUGGAUUGAUACUGGAAAUCGAGGUAAAACAGAUGAGCUUAUAAGGAAAAAGAAGAGUAGAAGAAGUCAUACAGCUCUUCCAUUUUACCAGGGCAAGAAGAAGUUCUUUGGCACAAGUGAGUCUGCAAGAAGGAAGCAGGAAAUAAUAAAAUUAAGACUGUUAAUGAGGUGCCACUCAUGCCAGAAACUAGAGCCGUAAGGAGACUGCAUCAUUCUGCAGAAACUAUCUGGUCGGAGCUUCCAUGGCAGUCAUCCCAUCAAUGCCAAGUGUGAAAAUAAAACUUCUUAACAUCUGAAAUAGCAAAUUACAAGAUCAAGGGGAGUGCACAAGUACACGCGAUGGGGAGUCAAAAUAAGGUGUGGUUCUUCUCUUUAUUGAGUAUACUGUCGCAAUUCUCUAGACUUAAAGUAAUUCUGCUGGUGAGAGCAAUUGCAGUAUCAACAUUUAUCACUUUCUUUUCUCUCAAGCAACUUUUGGAAAACCUAGAUAAGAAUAUAGUUGUUGAAGUAUCCUCCUCAUCUGUUGCUAUUUCAUUUCCUGCACCUCUUUUCAGAUAUACCUGUGAAUUAUGAGAUUAAAAAAAAGAGGUGCAGGGCCCAGAGUUGGAAAUCUACACUGGAGCUCCUUCCCCCCGGCAAAAGAAACUGACUGGAGAGUGCACUGUCAGGAGAGAGAUUGGAUCUUUGCAGAAUAUUCUGUGAGGAAGUGCUUCUGAAAUGUGUGAUCCCUGAGUCCAGAUUCCUCAGUCAGAUAGAAAGUUCAAGUCGGUCAAUUGAUGGAUCUCUUGCUUAUUGCACAGUUGGUGUAAACUAGAAAUCCAGAAGCUCUGCGCGACCCCUUUCAUCUAAUGUUUUACCUACAGGGGAUAAUUUCUUGGAUAGCAACUUUUUAGAUAACAAAUUCAAUGCUUCAGCUAUAAAUCAGACUGCCUGUUAGGUUGAAGGAUGAGUUUGUGAAACAAUUGUAGCUGGCAGAUCAACAGAGGAUGUUUCCUUUAGGGAGUCUCUUGAACGUGAUGACAGUUCAAAUGUGAUGCAUGAGAAAAGGAAAUGAUUUAUGCAGAGCUGUUCUUUGCACAAAAGCCUGGUACAUGAUGGACCAUCUUUUGAUAAUGGUGAAAUUUUUAUGCUUGUCCUAAAGAGGAUAUGGGCAGUACUUGAUCCAUGGGACGUUUAUAGUUCAGGUGCUUCUGAAUUCUAUUAUGAUGGAGAUGAUUUGUUACUUGUACAUUCUCAUGGUGAAGAAAAUCUCAAGAGAUGGAUCAUCAAAAAAAUCUUAAGAAUUAUUUGAUACCACGAGCUAUGAUCUCCUCUAGGGUGGAUGGGGACUCAUAAAUGGAUUGAUGCUUGAAAUCGAGGUAAGACAGAUGAGCUUAUAAGGAAGAAGAAGAGUAUAAGAAGUCAUUCAGCUCCUCCAUUUUGCCAAGGCAAGAAGAAGUUCUUUGCCAUAAGUGAGUCUACAUCAAAGCAGCAGGAAAUAACAAUAUUAAGGCAAGAAGAAGUUUAUGAUGUGCCACUCAUGCCAGAAACUAGAACUGUAAGGAGAUUGCAUCUUCUGCAGAAGCUAUCUGCUCGGAGCUUCCACAGCAGUCAUCCCAUCAAUGUGAUCAAUCUUCCACCCCAAGUUGUGGUGACAGUGUAUUCUCUGAUGUAAGGUAAUGUUAUCAAAUUUCUCGGGAGGGUUAGGUUUCUUUCUGAUUUUAUCUCAAACAAAUAUGUUAGUAACUCACAAUGUGUUCUCUCUUUCAGUUAAUUAGCUUCAUUUCUUUCACCCACUUUUUAAGAUUAUCGUAGACUGCAUUCUUAUUAAUCAUGAAAGCAUU